UAGUUUGUCUCUUUUAUCAAACAUUCCUGCUGUUAUAAUUUGUACAGCAUUUGUUGUUUCUUAAACUGUUGCACUGUCCAAAUACCCACACUUGCCAUCUUUGCACUUGACCACUUGAUUACUUAUUUGAAGUCUUUCCUGUAUUUGGCCUAGUGUUCGAGUGAGCAUGAUGACCACGAGUGUGUGUCGAACUUUUCAUGACCUGAUGACUGUGUUUCCCAAUCCUGAUCCUGGAGAACCCCAGCACUGCACGGUUUUGGUGUCUCUCUUAUCUGCCUUGGAGUCUUCACUGAUGAGCUGAUGAGUUGAAUCAGGUGUGUUUGAUCAGGGAGACAUCUCAAAUGUGCAGUGUUUGGGUUCUCCAGGACCAGGAUUGGGAGCCACUGCCUUAUGGGACACUUAUGUGUUUACAGAGAUUUUUAAUAUCUAAUUAUCAAUAUUUCACAUACUGUACAUUGGACAGCUUCCCAUGACCUCUUGUGAGAUCUCGGCAAAAAGUCUGACGAUUUAUUCCAAAACAUGAUGCAUGAUGGGAUACACUAAGCUUUGUAUAGCUCUCCGGAGCAUUAUUGGAGAGGUUUAGUGUGUGUUAAGGACGCUGUGCUUUGGCAUUAUUAAGACCGGGGACAGUCUCGUUCACACACUGUCACGUACACACACUCUCAAGUGGCCAAGACUGCAAGUGUGGGUAUCUGGACAGGGUCAAAGUCUUAAAAAUGAUCCCUAAACACGGUCGCACAUCAUAGUCUUAAUAAUCCAGUUUAACACUUGUAGGAUAUUGUACAAGCCCCAGGACGGUCUCAUCUGACACUAUCAAAAGAAUUCAUAUGACUAUAGCUUGUUAUUAAUUACUUGUAUUCAAUAAUGGAUGCAUUUAACAUUUAAUUAUACAGCAUCUUUACAGAGGUGUAAUGUACAAGUUGCACGUACUUAAUAAUAUUUUCUUCUUUCUGUCUUACAGGAUUUUUUGCAGAUAAUCCUAAUGCUGUUCUUCUUUUUCAUGUCUAAAAUAUCAAGCUCAACAGCUCACUCAAGAGCCAACCCUCACAAACCUUCCUAAAAACUAAGAGCUAUUACUGAGUCUCAGCGAAUCUUGCCAUGAUCAGCUCUUCCCAGAAGAGAAGGAAGACCAAGGAAAUGAUUUGCUCAGGAUGAGAAAUGAAGAUGGCCAUCUUGUGCUCAAACAAACAGAAGUCCUUUGAUGAUCUCAUCAGCCAAAUGAGGGGUUUUGACCAAGUGAUGCUCUUGAAAGGAGUGAAAGAAGAGGAUGUGCUAAAUUCUCUUCAGAGAAAAAGCUUCUCAAAAGAUCUUAAAACAGCUUGAAGAAUGGUCUGGGAUCUUAGGACUGAGAGAUCCUCUGACUGAGAGAAGCUACACCACACCAGUGCUGGACAUCAACCACAAACUGUUUCCAGACACGAGAGAAGAAGAACACGAUGGGGAGAUGAAACCAGUUUAGAUGUGAUGAUGGGAAUCAUUAUUUUGUGGAACAGUAUCACAUGUCUUAUAUGUAUCACAUGAUCUGUAUCACAGUUGACUGGAUGGGACUGUGUGACUUUUAAGGACAUUUCAUCACUCAUCUGUGUGAACUGAUUUAUAUAUGAGGUUAAUGUAUUUUUGAUGAUAAUUAUUUUCAUUGAAUCGUAUUCGUCUUGAUGCUACUUUAUCAACUUUAUAGUCUAUGCUUCAAUAAAAUGAAAAUGGUGAA